CCUGGCCAUUAACCUUUCAAGAACUAAAUGCCAAUAGUGCUGCGUCACAGGGAGAACACUUGCUAUUUACAGCGGCUUGUUCAGACCAGGAGGUACGGGGUAAAGAGAGAUUUGCUUUAAUAACGAGCAGGUGCUUAGAAUUAAUGCAGGGAAGGAAAAGCCUGUGAAGGGACCUGAGCGAGCCCGAAUCCAGGUCAAGCCUGAGGAGACGUCCAGCCAUGUACCACACAGUUAUCAGAUCCAGCACGCAUGUGGAGAAAGCCUGGCUUUUGUGAGGGUUUCUCUGUAUAGUCUUGGAUGGCCUGGAACUCACUCUGUUCAGGCUGGCUUUGAACUCACAGAGAUGUGCCUGCUUCUGCCUCCAGAGUGCUGGGAUUAAAGGUGUGCACCACUACAGCAGAUCACACACACAAGCAUGUAUAUAGACAGAGACAGAGAUCAGUUACAUUUUUGUAUAUGUGGGGAUCGUAGAGGUCAGCCUUGGGUGUCGUUCUUCAAGAGCUAUCUAGAUAUCUACCUUGUUUUUUGAGACAGAGUCUUUCACUGGCCUGAGGUCAUGGCUUGUGACUAGGCUCUGGCCAGAGAACUCCCAGGGAUCCUCCAGUCUCUACCUCCCCAAUGCUGGGAUUACAGGUAUGCAUACCACCAAGACCAGCCUUUUUAGUGUCAUGUGGGGACUGAGUUCAAGUCCUCCUGUUUAUAUAAUAAAAGGCAUGAUCCAUUUAAGCAUGGACGUUAGAAGGGAGUUAGGUGGGGGGAGGCUUAGGGGAGAGAUAGCACACCACAAUCAAAACAUGGUACAGGCUUUCCUAGAAAGAACAACCCAGCCCUUGUUAAAGUUUUGUUUUUUUUUUUUUUUUUUU
rnacentral:lncRNA from 1 species